rnacentral:rRNA from 1 species
GACGAACGCUGGCGGCGUGCUUAACACAUGCAAGUCGAACGGUAAGGCCCUUUCGGGGGUACACGAGUGGCGAACGGGUGAGUAACACGUGGGUGAUCUGCCCUGCACUUUGGGAUAAGCCUGGGAAACUGGGUCUAAUACCGGAUAGGACUACGCGAUGCAUGUCGUGUGGUGGAAAGCUUUUGCGGUGUGGGAUGGGCCCGCGGCCUAUCAGCUUGUUGGUGGGGUGAUGGCCUACCAAGGCGACGACGGGUAGCCGGCCUGAGAGGGUGUCCGGCCACACUGGGACUGAGAUACGGCCCAGACUCCUACGGGAGGCAGCAGUGGGGAAUAUUGCACAAUGGGCGCAAGCCUGAUGCAGCGACGCCGCGUGGGGGAUGACGGCCUUCGGGUUGUAAACCCCUUUCAGCAGAGACGAAGCGUAAGUGACGGUAUGUGCAGAAGAAGCACCGGCCAACUACGUG